CGGUGGGAAGGAUCGGCAACCAUGGUAAAGGAGAGUAACCAAGGAAUAGUAACCUGGUUAGGUACUGUUCCCCAAAAAAAAACACCUCGCAAAUUAGCAUGAACACUAUUCCUAAGGAUUGUAACAGCCCGGAAUCUCAGUCGACUGAGAAGAACCCUAAACGGCUGUGGGCAUCUAGAGCAAGAUUGAAGGAUAUUAGGGCUUGGAAGAAAUUGUUGUGCAAGGAGGAGAAGAGCUUUGGGCUAAAGGAACAGCAAGGGAUUCGAGUUCUGCGGUUUGGGGACACAGAGAGUGCAUAUCUCAGGGAGGUUGUAGCUCGUCGGAUUGUGCACGAGUGAUUUCAGGAUUUGCUAGCUUUCAGCAUUUACGAGGUGAGUCUUCUCACUACACUGUACCCGGAAGGGUUUGACUUUGUGACCGGAAGGUCAGAUAUGAUAUGUGAUAUGUAUGCUAUGUGUGGUAAGUUAUUUGUUAUAUGUGUGUUAUGCAUGUUAUGUGGGCCGGAAGGCAAUAUGUUAUGGGCCGGAAGGCGAUUAUGUUAUGGGCCGGAAGGCGUUGUGUUGAGGACCGGAAGGUCAGGGCCUGGAAAGGCGUAUGUGCGUAAGUGUAUAUUGGGGGACUCACUAAGCAUUUAUGCUUACAGUGGUUAUGUAUGUGUUUCAGGUACUAGCGAGGACCGUGGGAAGGUGCCGGCGUGAUCGAUACACACUGAAGAAUGUUUUUAUGAUCUUGGGAUUUAGACAGUUUGUAUUUGACAUGACACUUAAACCAUUUAUGCCUUGUUUUGAAUGAAAUUACUCUAUUUAUAAAAAGAAAAAUUU